AUCGAACGCUGGCGGCAGGCCUAACACAUGCAAGUCGAACGAGUGGCGGACGGGUGAGUAAUGUCUGGGAAACUGCCUGAUGGAGGGGGAUAACUACUGGAAACGGUAGCUAAUACCGCAUACCAUCAGAUGUGCCCAGAUGGGAUUAGCUAGUUGGUGGGGUAACGGCUCACCAAGGCGGCGAUCCCUAGCUGGUCUGAGAGGAUGACGAGCCACACUGUAACUGAGACACGGUCCAGACUCCUACGGGCGGCAGCAGUGGGGAAUAUUGCACAAUGGGGGCCAGCCUGAUGCAGCCAUGCCGCGUGUGUGAAGAAGGCCUUCGGGUUGUGAAGUACUUUCAGCGGGGAGGCGUGACCCGCAGAAGAAGCACCGGCUAACUCCGUGCCAGCAGCCGCGGUAAUUC
rnacentral:rRNA from 1 species